CCUACGGGAGGCAGCAGUGGGGAAUCUUGCGCAAUGGGGGCAACCCUGACGCAGCCAUGCCGCGUGAAUGAUGAAGGCCUUAGGGUUGUAAAGUUCUUUUGCCCGUGACGAUGAUGACGGUAACGGGAGAAUAAGCUCCGGCUAACUUCGUGCCAGCAGCCGCGGUAAUACGAAGGGGGCUAGCGUUGUUCGGAAUUACUGGGCGUAAAGCGCGCGCAGGCGGUUCGAUAAGUUAGGGGUGAAAUCCCUGGGCUCAACCCAGGAAUGGCCUUUAAGACUGUCGAGCUAGAGGACGAGAGAGGUGAGUGGAAUUCCCAGUGUAGAGGUGAAAUUCGUAGAUAUUGGGAAGAACACCGGUGGCGAAGGCGGCUCACUGGCUCGUUUCUGACGCUGAGGCGCGAAAGCGUGGGGAGCAAACAGGAUUAGAUACCCUGGUAGUCCACGCCCUAAACGAUGAGUGCCAGUGUCGGAGCUAGCUCUCGCGCGCAGCUACGACUACGCACUCCGCCGUCGGGUAGGUACGGCCGCGAACGGUUAAACGUACAACGAAGUAGACGGCGNGAGACGNGCCGAACGGACGACGACGAGGGAGGUAGG
rnacentral:rRNA from 1 species